rfam:Larimichthys crocea isolate SSNF unplaced genomic scaffold scaffold14, whole genome shotgun sequence.
CAAAAGGCUCUUUUAAGAGCCACACACCUGAGCCUGAGAGCAAACU